UUUGAUUCUUGGGUGAAUUCUUGUACACAUUCUUGUUGUUGAGCCUUGGGCGGACAGGGGAGGUGCUGUCCGUUCGGCGACCGUCGCCGCGGCCGAACCGUGCCAAAUUGGUAGUGGUUUCGGGGCAGGGUGUGACAGUUCUUUGUGGUAUCAGAGCUGUAAGAGCAAGUAAAGAGAGAAAGUCUAGGAUGAUCUAGGAGA
rnacentral:lncRNA from 1 species